rnacentral:rRNA from 1 species
CCUACGAGGAGCAGCAGUGAGGAAUAUUGGUCAAUGGACGAGAGUCUGAACCAGCCAAGUAGCGUGAAGGAUGACUGCCCUAUGGGUUGUAAACUUCUUUUAUAAAGGAAUAAAACGAGGCACGUGUGCCUUUUUGCAUGUACUUUAUGAAUAAGGAUCGGAUAACUCCGUGCCAGCAGCAGCGGUAAUACGUAGGCUCCGAGCGUUAUCCGGAUUUAUGGGGUUUAAAGGGAGCGUAGAUGGGUUGUUAAGUCAGUUGUGAAAGUUUGCGGCUCAACCGUAAAAGUGCAAUUGAUACUGGCAGUCGUGAGUACAGUUGAGGUAGGCGGAAUUCGUUGUGUAGCGGUGAAAUGCUUAGAUAUCACGAAGAACCCCGAUUGCGAAGGCAGCUUACUAAACUGUGACUGACAUUGAUGCUCGAAAGUGUGGGUAUCAAACAGGAUUAGAUACCCCAGUAGUC